rnacentral:rRNA from 1 species
GACGAACGCUGGCGGCGUGCUUAACACAUGCAAGUCGAACGGAAAGGCCCUGCUUUUGUGGUGUGCUCGAGUGGCGAACGGGUGAGUAACACGUGAGUAACCUGCCCUUGACUUUGGGAUAACUUCAGGAAACUGGGGCUAAUACCGGAUAGGAGCUCCUGCUGCAUGGUGGGGGUUGGAAAGUUUCGGCGGUUGGGGAUGGACUCGCGGCUUAUCAGCUUGUUGGUGGGGUAGUGGCUUACCAAGGCUUUCGCGGGUAGCCGGCCUGAUGGGGUGACCGGCUACAUGGGGACUGCGAUACGGCCCAGUCUCGUACGGGAGGCAGCAGUGGGGAAUAUUGCAAAAUGGGCGGAAGCCUGAUGCAGCAACGCCGCGUGCGGGAUGACGGCCGUCGGGUUGUAAACCGCUUUCGCCUGUGACGAAGCGUGAGUGACGGUAAUGGGUAAAGAAGCACCGGCUAACUACGUG